rnacentral:rRNA from 1 species
CCUACGGGUGGCAGCAGUGAGGAAUAUUGGUCAAUGGGCGGAAGCCUGAACCAGCCAAGUCGCGUGAGGGAAGAAGGUACUGAGUAUUGUAAACCUCUUUUGCCAGGGGGCAAAGGCGGCGACGUGUUCCCGUGAGAGUGUACGUUGAGAAAAAGCAUCGGCUAACACCGUUCCAUCGGCCGCGGUAAUACGGGGGAGGGGAGCGUUGUCCGGAUUUGUUGGGUUACAGGGGUGCGCAGGCGGCGUGUCAAGUCAGCGGUAAAAUGUCGGGGCUAAACCCCGGCCGGCCGUUGAAACUGGCGGGCUUGAGUUGGAGAGAAGUAUGCGGAAUUCGUGGUGUAGCGGUGAAAUGCAUAGAUAUCACGAAGAACACCGAUUGCGAAGGCAGCAUACCGGCUCCACACUGACGCUGAGGCACGAAAGCGUGGGUAUCGAACAGGAUUAGAUACCCCUGUAGUC